UGUUCCUACGGGGGGCAGCAGUGAGGAAUAUUGGUCAAUGGGCGGGAGCCUGAACCAGCCAAGUCGCGUGAGGGACGACGGUCCUAUGGAUUGUAAACCUCUUUUGUCGGGGAACAAAGGCGCCCACGGGUGGGCGGAUGAGUGUACCCGAAGAAAAAGCAUCGGCUAACUCCGUGCCAGCAGCCGCGGUAAUACGGAGGAUGCGAGCGUUAUCCGGAUUUAUUGGGUUUAAAGGGUGCGCAGGCGGUCUGUUAAGUCAGCGGUCAAAGCCCGGGGCUCAACCCCGGCCCGCCGUUGGAACUGGC
rnacentral:rRNA from 1 species